rnacentral:lncRNA from 1 species
CAGUAGUGGACUUAUGUUUUACUUGUUUUUUGUUCUCUUGUUAGUUUUACAGCAUUAUCAAUUAGUAGUGGACCAUGUUUCCCACUUCUCCUCAUGUUCUCCAUUAUCUAUUAGUUGCUAUUUUUUAGGCUUAGCAGUUAAAUUGUAAGCCUAUAAAAGGCAGUAGGUGUUUGUUUUCAAGCAGAGAGAAUUUAGCAGUAAAAAGUAUUCUUGUAUCUCAACUUGUGCCUUUGUUUCCAACAUAUUUUGGUAUCAGAGCCUUUAGGAAAAGAGGUGGGUUACGGCAUAAACCUUCUUUCUUUUCAAUUUUCAGGUUUCACUUUAACUUCUCAACACAAACCAGAGAGACAAAAUGGCAGCAAAUUCAAACUCUAACACUAACUCCCAACAUCUUCCAAUUUUCAAAGGGGUGAAUUAUCAUUUUUGGAGUCUUAAGAUGAAGACCCUCUUCAAGUCUCAGGAAUUAUGGGACUUGGUGGAGAAUGGAUUUCCAGACCCGGAUGAAGGCCACGCACAACGGCUGCGGGAAAAUCGCAAGAAGGAUUCGAAGGCACUGUUUCUGAUUCAGCAAGCCCUUGAUGAUGAUAUCUUCCCCCGAAUUUCAGCAGCAGAGACUUCCUAUGAAGCUUGGGAAAUUUUGCAGCAGGAGUAUAUGGGAGAUAAGAAGGUAAUUGCAGUAAAUUGCAAACUUUGCGUCGUGAUUUUGAAACUUUAAGCAUGAAAAAUAAUGAAUCGGUACAAGAUUAUAUGUCUAGAGUCUCUUCCAUUGUUAAUCUCAUGAAAUCUUAUGGUGAGAUUGUAAGUGAUGAAAUUGUUGUAGCAAAGGUAUUGAGGUCUUUAACCAAUAAAUUUGAGCAUGUGAUUGCUGCAAUUGAAGAAUCCAAGGAUUUAUCUAAUUAUUCAUUUGAUGAAUUAAUGGGUUACUUGUUAGCGCAUGAAGAUAGAUCAAACUGGUCUCAUGAGAAAAUUGAAGAAAAAGCAUUCCAGGUGAAAGAGGAGGCAUCUUUCUGCAGAGAAAAAUCGGCAAUUUUUUCUGGCAGAGGUAGAGGAAGAGGUGGAUUUCGUGGUCGAGGUCGAGGACGUGGUAGAGGCCGAGGUCAAUUUACUGAGACACGACAGUACAAGAAUGAUAUGCAAUGCCGAUAUUGCAAGAAGCAUGGUCAUAUUGAAUCAUAUUGCUGGACUAAGCAAAAAAAUGAGCAGAAGCAUGCCAAUUUCUCAGAGAAAGUAGAGGAAGAAAGUAAGUUGUUCAUGGCUCAUUCUCCAAUUUCUAACUCUUCUGAUGGUGUUUGGUUCAUUGAUAGUGGAUGCUCGAACCAUAUAUCUGGCACAAGGUCCUUGUUUAGAGACCUCGAUGUGUCAAAGAAGAGUGAAGUUUGACUUGGUAAUGACAAGCAAGUUCGAGCUGAAGGCAAAUGUACUAUAGCCAUAAAGACAAUACAGUGUAAUGUAAAACUUCUCUGUAAUGUGCAAUUUGUUCCUAGUUUGGCUCAUAAUUUAUUGAGUGUUGGUCAAUUGACGUGCAGCAAAUGCUUCUUAUUUUAGAAGCUUGGUUGGUGGUUUAAAUUACUUGUCGCACACACGGCCCGAUAUAGCAUUUUCUGUCAGUUUGAUUUCAAGGUUCAUGCAUAGUCCCUCAAAGCAACACCUAGGUGCAGCCAAGAGGAUUUUGCGAUAUGUUGCUGCCACAACAAGUUAUGGAAUUUUUUACUCAAAAGUAUCAGAUUUUAGGUUAGUUGGCUUUACUGAUAGUGACUGGGCAGGUAGCUUGGAUGAUCGCAAGAGCACAUCUGGGAAUGUUUUCAAUCUUGGUUCUGGAGCAAUCUCAUGGAGUUCAAAGAAACAAGAUACAAUGGCUUUGUUAUCUUCGGAGGCAGAAUACAUGGCUACAACUACAGCAAGUUGUCAAGCUGUCUGGUUAAGAAAAUUGUUAGCGGAUCUUCAACAGAAGCAGAUUGGUCCAACUGAAAUAUGGUGUGACAACAAGGCAACAAUUGCUAUGACAAAGAAUCCUGCUUUUCGCAGUAGAACGAAGCACAUUGACACUCGCUAUCACUUCAUUCGCAAUUUAGUCAUUGAUGGAGUAAUCUCAAUGGAAUUUUGUGGCACAAAUGAUCAAGUUGCUGAUGUAACAAAGAAUCCUGCUUUUCAUAGUAGAACGAAGCACAUCGAGACUCGCUAUCACUUCAUUCGCAAUUUAGUCAUUGAUGGAGUAAUUUCAAUGGAAUUUUGUGGCACAAAUGAUCAAGUUGCUGAUGUUCUUAUGAAAUCGCUGCCUCACAACAAGCAUGACUUCUUCAGACUACAAAUGGGCGUAUGUGAUUUUGAAGAAAGGGGGAGUGUUGACUAAUUCUUCAAAAUAGUUUCAGUUGCACAUGAUUUAGUCGUGGCUUUUUUCUUAGCAGUAGUGGACUUAUGUUUUACUUGUUUUUUGUUCUCUUGUUAGUUUUACAGCAUUAUCAAUUAGUAGUGGACCAUGUUUCCCACUUCUCCUCAUGUUCUCCAUUAUCUAUUAGUUGCUAUUUUUUAGGCUUAGCAGUUAAAUUGUAAGCCUAUAAAAGGCAGUAGGUGUUUGUUUUCAAGCAGAGAGAAUUCAGCAGUAAAAAGUAUUCUUGUAUCUCAACUUGUGCCUUUGUUUCCAACAUAUUUAGGUAUCAGAGCCUUUAGGAAAAGAGGUGGGUUACGGCAUAAACCUUCUUUCUUUUCAAUUUUCAGGUUUCACUUUAACUUCUCAA